rnacentral:rRNA from 1 species
UACAGAGGGUGCAAGCGUUGUUCGGAAUUAUUGGGCGUAAAGCGCGUGUAGGCGGCUUUGCAAGUCGGGUGUGAAAGCCCUCGGCUCAACCGAGGAAGUGCGCCCGAAACUGCAGAGCUUGAGUGCCGGAGAGGAUGGCGGAAUUCCCCAAGUAGAGGUGAAAUUCGUAGAUAUGGGGAGGAACACCGGUGGCGAAGGCGACAUCCUGGACCGGUAUUGACGCUGAGGCGCGAAAGCCAGGGGAGCAAACGGG